UUAUAUAUUAGUGCUUUGGCAAAUAUGAUUAAAAUUUUUUAAACGAAAAUUAACUAAUUUCUAUUCAAAGUUACUAGUUGGAUAGUGCCUUUAGCUCACAUUGUUGGCUGUUGGGUAUAAUUUCCCUCGGCCAUAACUGGGGGACCAAAGUAUGCAAGCGCAUUUCUACUUUUAUAGUAUUCAUUUCUAACAGCUGAUUGGGUCAUUUUGAUUCUAGACUUGAGAGCGAUACUUUCAAAAAUUCCAGCCCAAAGUGUUACAUGAGUAAGCGCAAUGAUUGUUACCAAUGUUGCAAGAGAACCAAUAGUUUUGCAAUCUGGGAAGAUGAUUGUUAAAAACAUAAAAAUACCGGAAACUUUGCACAAUAAUAUGCUCGCAAAUCCUAGUAUCUCUCUGGUUCCAUCGCUUGAAUAAACUUCAACGAGAAAUGCAGCGAAUCCAAGUAUUGUUAGUCCAACACUCGUAAUAGCUAAGCCUGCAUUAUACAUACAUUUAAUUACGUGGUUGAGAUCUAGACCAGAUAGAGCAUUACCUUCAUAGUAACCCACAUUUGAGUACAAUGUAACUACAAUAAGUAUCAAUCCCAACAAAAUAACGAGAGAGCCUUGGCCAAAUGCUUUACAUCCUGACCUAAACCCACGUGUUUGGCUAAUACUGCCAUCAUCGUCCAUUAGAAUUGUCGACAUAUUUAAGCAUAUUACACCAAAAAUCAUAAAUAUCAUAAAGAACAACGCUGUUCCAGUUGAGUUUGUUGCUUCGUUAAAUGGGCUUAAGAACUUUGUUAUGUGCAAUCCAAAUCCACUAAAUAUUGAGCAGAUCGUCAGGCCAAUAAAACCCAAAAGCAUUGAACCAAAUCCCAGUUUGAGGUUGUUUACUAAAAAGUUUUCAAAAAAUAAUGGUUGCGAAGGCCCUCUUCCUUCAGGAGCAUCUCCUGGUCGAACUACAUACGUAAAAUACAUGGUCUCGAUUUAGAUUCAAUUAAUAAAAUCAGAGCUAUUAAAAUUUAAGAUUAAACGGUAUUGUCCUUUAAAAGCCGUUUAAAUUGAUAAAGGCACUAACAGUACAUGUAUUGUUUAUAAUUUUUAUUGCAAAACCCAAGCAUGUCUCCGUAAUUAAAUUUUUAUUGCACGUACAGUUCUCCAUGCGUGAGUACACCUUUCCACAAGAAAGUUCCCCAUUUUUGAAGAUGCGGAUCGCUUUUUUUUUUUUUAAAUUUUUAAAGGGUAGACAAAACGUUUAUCAUAAAAACAAUUUCCUCCAAAAAUGUUAUAAACGAUACUUACAGUUAUUAAGGCAAUCUAAUAUCUAAGUUGUUUUCAUUAGAUAGUGAGCUGUUGUUUCUAAAUUAGGGAGUAGAAAAGACUUGGCCGAAUAAUUUGUUUAUUAAGUGCUAAUCUAUGCGCAUCACUUAAAUGAGAU
rnacentral:antisense_RNA from 1 species